rnacentral:siRNA from 1 species
UGUAUCAAUUUUUACACUAGUCCC